rnacentral:rRNA from 1 species
GAUGAACGCUGGCGGCGUGCCUAAUACAUGCAAGUCGAGCGAACGGACGAGAAGCUUGCUUCUCUGAUGUUAGCGGCGGACGGGUGAGUAACACGUGGAUAACCUACCUAUAAGACUGGGAUAACUUCGGGAAACCGGAGCUAAUACCGGAUGAUAUUUUGAACCGCAUGGUUCAAAAGUGAAAGACGGUCUUGCUGUCACUUAUAGAUGGAUCCGCGCUGCAUUAGCUAGUUGGUAAGGUAACGGCCUACCAAGGCAACGAUGCAUAGCCGACCUGAGAGGGUGAUCCGCCACACUGGAACUGAGACACGGUCCAGACUCCUACGGGAGGCAGCAGUAGGGAAUCUUCCGCAAUGGGCGAAAGCCUGACGGAGCAACGCCGCGUGAGUGAUGAAGGUCUUCGGAUCGUAAAACUCUGUUAUUAGGGAAGAACAUAUGUGUAAGUAACUGUGCACAUCUUGACGUUACCUAAUCAGAAAGCCACGGCUAACUACGUG